UGCAAGCAGCGUUGGACGGGUCCUCGCAUCCUUGCUGGCCGGCGAAUCCACGCAUGUCCACCAGGUGGCGCUGCGACCAAAAGUGCAUGUCGGCCUAUGGAUGCGAUGAGGGCUGGACUCUGAUCACAGCCGUAAAAUUUCAGGCAGACUGGAGCAUGUUCAGGCUACUUACAGAGCUCUUCCUGUCCAUCCACCAGGUGGCGCUGCGACCGAGAGUGUAUAUUGGCCAAUGGAUGUGAUCAGGGUCAGACUGUGAUUCCACAUAUAAAAUUUCAGGCAGAUCGGACCAUGUACAGGCUAGUUAUAGAGCUUUUCCUUCUAUCCACCAGGUGGCGCUAUGACUGUGGCUGUAUUUCAGCAUGUGAAUGUCAUCAGGGCGGGACUCUGAUCAUACAUGUAAAGUUUGAGGCAGAUUGGAGCAUGUUUAGGGCGGUUACACAGCAGUUGAUGUUUCAUGGCGAAGCAUCAAAGUUCAGGAGGCCGCCAUGGCCACGCCCUCAGACUUUUGCGGAGCAUUUUGAUAACUUUUGAUCACCCAUGUGUGUAGUACAUCCUGGCCGAAUUUCAUCUCUCUCGGUGUUACCCUGUUUGAGUUUAUAGCUUUUGAAAAUGUCUAAAAAUGACCCAAAAUCGUCAAAACAUAUGACAUAUAAUUCAAAAUGGCUGACUUCCUGUUGGAUUUUGGUCAUGGGUGUCAAUUACAUUUUUGUGUGUCUUGAUGAGUUACAUAUGUGUAUGUUUUUAUGUUCAGCUAAUAUCAUGUUUGUGGUGUUAGAAGUGGACGUUUGUAGAGAGUUUUCAGUUGCGAUACUUUAAUGCAUAAAUAUUUGCAGUGGUGGUUUCACUGCAAGCAUCUACUGAUGUCACCAGUGAAGUAAAUAAAAACAGCAUUUGUUGAACUUUACGCCUCUCAGUGUCUGCAGUUAGUUUAGCUGAAUCAAUGCAAAGAUAUUUCUAUUUUUCUACAUGACAGGAAUGUCAGUGAAAUCCAAAUGCUAAGAAUAAACAAGUGAUCUGCCUGGUCACAGAUCCCACUUUAAUCCAAAAUAAAGACUUUGCAAGGAAAUGAACUUGAAAUAUGAGCCACCAGUAAAAGUUGUGAUCAGACAGAAGGGCCUGUAUUUUAUCUUUGGAGAAGUUUAACAUGUAAGUUUGUGCAGCUGAUCAGUGGUGAGGCCUGUGGAUGACUGGAGAUGUGUGUGGACACUUAGACGAAGCAGCAAAUGUGUUGAAAAUGAGUUGUCUUCUCAGAGUCUUGAAGAUGUUUUGUCAGAGCUAAGAAAGAAGUAAGAGAUCCUGCAGGUGAUUGUUGAGUGGUGUUGAGGAAUUUGAAUGUAGAGGAAUAGCAAAGAGAUUUUGAAGAUAUUUAAGCCAUAAGUUGUAUUUUAUUUGUUUGCUGUUCUCUCCCAUUUGUAGUGAAGAGAAGUGAUUUGACAUGAAGAAUGUGAUUUGUGUGGCUUUGAAAUUGUGUUAAAAUGUAAAAAUGAGUGAUGAGGAGAAGAGUGUGACUUUUUAGUAUUGUGUUUUUUAGCGUGUUCUUUAAAAGUUGUAGGUAGAUCAUGUUCUUUUUUUGAUUUUGUGGAUUGUUUUUUUUUCUUUCAGUGUUGAUGUCACCGCCUUGACGAAUAGAAGAAAAGCCUGUAUUUGGGGGCACAGAGGAACACCCCCAGCAACCAUCACUCCCGCGCUCCAACGCCACACCGUGCCAGCCAAUGGUGCCGAAAGGCUAACCGACGAAUAGAAAACCCUUGUGCAGCCACGCCACCACACGAACAAAAGUGUGCGCCCCCAUGGAAAACACGAAACUCCCGCGGUGACCUCAAACUUACGAAUGGUGGUGUAUAUAAUAUACAUCAUAGCCACAAACCAACAGGAAGAUGAAGUCAUGUUGUUUUUCAUGUUUAUAAUAUGUAACUGUUAAAUACAAUGCUGUAACUCAACAUUAAUAAAGAAAACAUACAUUUCAAUUGA